rnacentral:rRNA from 1 species
AUUGAACGCUGGCGGAAUGCUUUACACAUGCAAGUCGAACGGUAGAGGGGGCAACCCCUUGAGAGUGGCGAACGGGUGAGUAAUAUAUCGGAACGUGCCCAGUCGUGGGGAUAACGUAGCGAAAGUUACGCUAAUACCGCAUACGAUCUAAGGAUGAAAGCGGGGGAUCGCAAGACCUCGCGCGAUUGGAGCGGCCGAUAUCAGAUUAGGUAGUUGGUGAGGUAAAGGCUCACCAAGCCGACGAUCUGUAGCUGGUCUGAGAGGACGACCAGCCACACUGGGACUGAGACACGGCCCAGACUCCUACGGGAGGCAGCAGUGGGGAAUUUUUGGACAAAUGGGCGCAAGCCC